AGCUUUGCACAUUGGCAGUAUCGUAGCCAAUGAAGUUUAUCCGUGGGGCGAUUAUUGCUAAUUGAAAAAAAUUUCCCAGGCCCAGCGGCGUGACCUAGCGGCUAAAGUCCUCGCCUGGAAUACAUCAGGAUCCCAUAUGGGU